UCUUGCAUGUUCGGACUCUUGGUUCGCGCUCACGCUUAACACCGACUGAAUGAACUGAGGUGGCAUACUGGGGACGCGGACUGUGCCCAGCCAGGAAUGACCUCUUCAGGCCUCCGAUUCUGGCUCAGAGCAGCAGAGACCAAUUUCGUCAAGGCCUUCGUCUGGACAAGGGCUCACGCGACCCAACCUAGCCUUCCUGGCCUGGCUGGACUAUGAAGGGACAGUCCUCCCAGCUGCUUCUGGCCCCUACUCAGGGGGGCACAUCCUCCAUGCCCACCUACCCCCACAUGCCUCAAGGGUUCUCCCCAGAGUCCUGCCCUCAACCAUAAUGAAUGGAGGAAUGAACACUGCUGAGGUCCUGGAUUCUCGCUGGGCCUCCUCUCUGCCAGUGUGUCAUUUCUGCAAUGGGUGGAGCUUCUGCAGAGAGAAGGUGGUGGGCCAAAGGCAGAGCCCCAGCCCCAUCCCGAUCCCCAGAGGGACCUCAGAAUUGUUGGUGUUUCCACGGGCCGCCUCCGGGACAAUGACUUUUGCUCAGCUGGUACCCUGAAGCAUCCCCUCCAAUCUCCGUGAUGUCUGUUUCAAACUACAAAAUGCUGGACUUGGCUGCCCCCCCCCCCUCUAUUUACCAAGAAAGUUCUAGCGGAUGGCAUUCCACACAUCUCUCUACCAAACCUAGACUGUUGCCCUUCGGGGAUGGCCACAGAAGCUGAAAUACACUCCAGAGCUCUGUUUGCUUCAGGGGGUGGGGGCCACAUUCAGAGCCCAUCUUUCCUCCUCCAAGCCAGACCGGGAUUCCAGCAUCGGGAUCCCACUUUCCCCUGCUUCUUCAGUUGUGGAAAGGCUGGAGGGCAUCCUCUGAAAUGCAUCCAGUCUUUGGCAAGAGAAGAAAGGAGGCAAAAACCAGUUUCUGAGCCACAGGCAGACCCCCAUCAUCUUCUCAAUGAAGAACUUGUAAUUGAUGGUGUUGACAUGAGGUCCUACAGGAAAAUGCCCUCUGCCCACUGGGGCUCCCAGCCAUGCCCAGAAGGCUCCAUGAUGUCAGCUGCAAAACAGUCAACAAUCACAUGUACCCACCCCUAAACACUGAGACCCUAAAGUGACUCUUGUAAUCCAAGAGAUGAGUUUUGGCCCCAAUCUAGGCCAAUAUCCUUCGACUUCCCCCUCUUUCCCCUGAACAGACUUCGACGAGGGCUUUCUCUUGAUCAGCUCUCCCCAGAUCCUCACAACCUCCAGGACCCUCCGUUUGAAAGUGGAGCCCAUUGUCCUGGUUCUCUCCCCUCUUGAUUGUUACUUACAGUGGAGACUUGUUCGGACACUUCUGGAAACACAAACAUAAUCAGAUAUCAGAGGUGGUCCUCACGAUCCCAAAAGGGCAUUUGCAGCUGUUUGGUGUGAUGGCGAGACCUUGGCUGGAAUCACCACAGUGCCUGCUUUAAAGGGAACAGUUACCUCGGCCACAGAUGUUCUGGGUUUAUAAAGGCAGGAGGACAGAGUUCAGAGCUCCAAAGAGUGAGGAAUGGAGCACUUAUUCACAUAUCUGGCUCCUCCACUCCUGUGUGUCCCCAGGUGGCAGAAUGGUGAGAAUAUGGCCAUGGAUCUUUAGUGAGAAAAUUGGUGUGAUUCAGACUUGGCUCACUGACUAAUGACUGUGGUCAGACCUAAAAAGUAACCUGUAUCCAGUGGAGUACAGGGUAACAGUGAAUAAAUAACUAGAGGGAUUACAAAAGAGUUCUUUGAGCCCUUUUCUACCCCCUGAUCCUUCUUCAAGCACAACCAUUCUCACCUUCAUAAAGGGAAGAUUAGAACCCUGGAAGCUCUCAGUGCUGUGCUUCUAGAAGGAAAGAGCCCAUCUUGGGGAAGAGGCUGUGGCAUUUUCUGCUCAUGGUGAGGAGGUCGGGGACUACUUGUUAAUGAUUUCUGUGCGAAAGAAAUGAAUAGGGAAGGCUACUGAGUGACUGUGGAAACUAUGGGAGUCCAUGGACUGAGACUGGACGAUGUGAUUGUCUGUGGGGGAUGUCUGAUCUUCCUUUAUUGCAGGUAGAAUUUGGGGCAGGAGCAAGGCAUGGAAGCCAGAGAGUAAAGUCCUUGUUUCACAAAAAGGGUGUUUCCCUGUUACAUGUAUAAAGGAAUUAAAUGUACUCUUCACGAACCUCGUCUCCAACUGCUGAAGCAGACACAUUUCCAUCUGCUCACAACAUGUUCCCAUGCGUAAUAUCCCUCCAGGCUGUGUGUGGUCAGGGAUGCUCCUACUGAAGCCCAAGGGCCAGAAACCUACUGGCUGUACUCCAUGAAGAGAUUUUCCCACAAGACCUAUGGAAAGUGAGGAUUUCUCCAGAAUUUCUUCAACAUUCUCCACCUUGGAACAGACCUGGUUAUGGACAAUAGCAUCAGCUCACAGUGUGUUUUCUUUUAUCUUUAGAUUCAGGAGUGGAAUAGGACUCCCUUUGGAAGUACAAAUGCUAAUAGACCUUUAAGGUCAAUGAUCUCAGGGAGCAAUAAAGCCUUUCUACCUAAAUAA